CAAGUCGAGUGGGUUUAGACCCACGGCGAACGGGUGAGUAAUACCUAGGAACUUUACUUUAGUCGGGCAUAACCAGCCGAAAGGUUGGACAAUUCCCGAUGUUAUCGCAAGAUCAAAGCAGCAAUGCGCUAAAGUUGAGGCCUGGGCACCAUCAGCUAGUUGGUAAGGUAACGGCUUACCAAGGCUAUGACGGUUAGGGGUCCCGAGAGGGAUAACCCCCACACUGGAACUGCGACACGGUCCAG
rnacentral:rRNA from 1 species